rnacentral:rRNA from 1 species
UGGGAUGACGUCAAGUCAGCAUGGCCUUUAUAUCCUGGGCUACACACACGCUACAAUGGGCCAACACAAUAGGUUGCUAAGCCGCGAGGUGGAGCCAAUCCAUAAAGUUGGUCUCAGUUCAGAUUGUAGGCUGCAACCCGCCUGCAUGAAGAUGGAGUUGCUAGUAACCGCAGGUCAGCUAUACUGCGGUGAAUACGUUCCCGGGGCUU